UGCGGCAGCGGUUUUCAGGAGGAGGGUCGAUGGGGAUCAAGGAGCAGGUGCUCACCAGGCAGCGCCAGCAGGUGCUCACCAAGCAGGCUGUGGCGGCUAAGAUGGUGGUUGCUGUGCUCAUCUCUGAAAUCUCAGUUUUGGUUCUUGGAAGCUUUCUUGCAGCAGUGAACAAAUUCAUUGCUGAUCGUUAUUCAUGGAAUUACACAGCAUCUGAAUACCAUGUGUAUGAGUUCUUUAGGAUCAGCAUACGCUCCCAUUUGAGUUGUCGGCAAGGAUAUAGGCUGGGGUUGGCAGUAUGGUGUUAAUUUGGGCCCAUUUGAGUUUGGAGAUUCUGCUUGCUUGUGCUCUCCUUGGCAUUAAGUGUAAUCGAUCUUUUAGCUGCCAUGUUUUCAGGUUAUGGUAUGGAUCUCUACAUACGACUGAAGCUUGCGGAGGGUAUGCAGCAACAGCCUAGCUAGGCCGAUGGCCUAUUGCCGGUGGCUGGGGACUGAACGGAUCAUUUUUGCCGCCACUUCCCACAAGAACGGCUCGACAAUCUCUGCAGCUGAAGGCCAGCUUACAGUCAACGUCUGCAAACCAACUUUCUCUGCAAACCAUUUUGAUUGCUGUAAUCAGAAGAGGUUUUGGUUACUAUAGUUUGAGUCUGUCACACAAUUGUGGUUGUUUACUAUAUUCUUAGAUCAUAAUUCAGGAUGCAUCUCAGGCAAACAUAUGUGCUAUGCCUACCAUUAGAAUUGCAAAUCAAAGUGGUAUUGUGAAUUUGGUAACAUAUUACUUUUUUCUGAUUACUGAGAAAAUGCCUUAUGGCAAAUGACAUGUUUCUUUGGUGGGAUUAGCCAUGAAUUCAGUUCCUGCCAUUUCUUUGUUGGUGAAUUUGGCGCUUUGAUGUGGAGCAUGGUUCUGCGGCAGGUUGGCACAAUUGCUCGCCCUGAAGUGGCUGGCCGCAAUGCUGGUCACAUCACGGCAAAAGAGGUUCCUCUAUGAGCUUGGUGUACAUGCUGUGCUGAAAUUGAUGUCGAGCCUCCACAUAGCAAUUCAGGACAAGAUGUGAGCAGAGCAAACCAUGGUUGUAUUCAAUCCUUUCUAUCUCAUGUUUUCCAGUGUGCCUUGAAAUCAUGGUAAGAUGCUUGAUUCAUAUGCCAUUGGGAAAAUAUGCUUUGGUUCCAUCUCAUUUUGAACUAAAAAAUUCUUAUUAAACACUGUUGCCUCAAACAAUGAACCUCGAUAUAUCAAAUCAUUUUUAUACUGUCUAUUUGUCUAUUAGAAAAGCUCUACUGCGGAAUGACAUUAUUAUUUUUGUGCAGUCACUAGCAGAAGCCAUGUUCUUGACUGAUCUGGAGCUGAAUACAGUAUCUCUUUUCACUUCUUUGAUGUCUUUCUCUGUUGACUUCGUACCAAACCUUGAUAACU